rnacentral:rRNA from 1 species
AUUGAACGCUGGCGGCAUGCCUUACACAUGCAAGUCGAACGGUAACGCGGGGCAACCUGGCGACGAGUGGCGAACGGGUGAGUAAUGCAUCGGAACGUGCCCAGUAGUGGGGGAUAGCCCGGCGAAAGCCGGAUUAAUACCGCAUACGACCUAUGGGUGAAAGCGGGGGAUCGUAAGACCUCGCGCUAUUGGAGCGGCCGAUGUCAGAUUAGGUUGUUGGUGGGGUAAAGGCCUACCAAGCCUGCGAUCUGUAGCUGGUCUGAGAGGACGACCAGCCACACUGGGACUGAGACACGGCCCAGACUCCUACGGGAGGCAGCAGUGGGGGAAUUUUGGACAAUGGGCGAAAGCCUGAUCCAGCCAUGCCGCGUGCGGGAAGAAGGCC